GCUGGGUGCAGUGGCAUGUGCCUGUAGCCCCAGCUACUCGGGAGGCUGGGGUGGGAGGAUCUCUUGAGCCCAGGAGUUCUGGGCUGUAGUGCGCUAUGCCGAUCGGGUGUCCGCACUAGAUUCGGCAUCAAUAUGGGGACCUCCCAGGAGCGGGGGACCACCAGGUUGCCUAAGGAGGGGGGGACCAGCCCAGGUCAGAAACAGAGCAGAUCAAAACUCCCGUGCUGAUCAGUAGUGGGAUCGCGCCUGUGAAUAGCCACUGCACUCCAGCCUGGGCAACAUAGCAAGACCCCGUCUCU
rnacentral:SRP_RNA from 1 species